CACUGCUGUAAUACUGAUCUUCAUCGGCGGAGACAGAAAGAGUGAGAGAGAGAGAGAGGGAGAAAAAAGAGAGAGAACUGAUCUUGUGGACAACCAGAAAACCCGAGUAGCUGUUUAAGAAAACAAUUUUGAAGCUGAUAUCGAUAAUAAGCAUUAUGUGGAUGAAAACCGUGCUUAUCGCGUCCUGCAUUCUCCUGGUCUGCCAGUCCAAUGCCAAACCGGUAAAAAGAAGCCUGAGCGGGACUCACCUUCCGCUCUCAUUUGUUCGGAAAAGGCAUGCGUUCGUCGAUGAAGAUCUUCCAUCCAUGGUUGCCCUGAAAAAGAGAUCCGCCGACGAAGAC